UUGUUCUCUUCUCAUGAUGAAAGAAAGGACUGAUGUUCUAUGGAAGUAAGAGGCACAACUGUUGGCCAAACGCUUCAAAAUUUUAGGAGAUAACUGAACACAGGAAGACUUUGGGCUGAAAUAGAAAUACACACUGAAGGGAUAUGACAUUCUCCUGGAAAGAUUACUUCCGAAGAGGACCAAUACAAAGACCACGAGAGAUCCACAACCUGUUUGCAAGAGGCUUAAACUGGGUUUAAUUUAGGUUUAUAACAUUGAUUUUUUUUCCUGUUGGGACAGGAUAACUUGGUGACAAUUUGCUUUGAUAAAGCCAUACUAACAGAAAGCUAAUUUUUUUGCAUGACCUCGCGACGAAUUCACUUCAAACUUCUUUUUUACCGUCAGGGAUGUUCAUCUUUUAAGAUAUUCGAGUCGUAUCUUGGCCACCAGAUUUAGCAAUAGAAGAUAGGCACGGUAUUACAUUGAGAGGUGGCGGAAUUUCAUUUCAGUUCUUAUUCAAACUUUAAAAACACACAAGUAUUGAGAAAUUGAUAUGAAAACAUCUUCGCGAAAAGCACGAGAUAUUGUAACCUCAGUUCCAGCUUGACGAGAACUAACUUAAAACACAACUCUCUCUUUUCUUAGCAAUCGUUUCGUAAAAGUUGCUUUAGCCAUGCUACAAAUGUUUUAUAUCCUGUACUAUCUUUUGCUUCUGCAUAUCUGUCAGAUUUGUAUUUUUGUUUAAAAAGUUUUAGUUUUUUUUUGUAUGCUUCUAAUACAGGAACGCCCUAAAUAGCAUCUCUCGUACACACUUUAACAAAUAACGCAUUCCUUCGAGUUUUAUACCUUGAUGAUAAUCUGACAAAAGUUCAGUCUUUGGGAAGAAAAAAUACUGAAGACAAAAGCUUUGCAUUUUGUGUAGUGUGUAGCGGAAAUCGACGGUUUUAACGGCAUCAUAACACGAAGUCUCUUUUAUAACA